AUGUUUUAGUUUUUGCAUUUAAAUUUCUAUAAUCAAUAACCAUAGGACAUUAUUGUGCUAAUUUCCCAUGGUUUCCUCCAAUCUCCUUCUAUAAUUUUUUGCAUUAAAAGAGCGUCAGUUUCUACUAUGCAUCUUUCAUACCCUUCUGUUACACAGUAUGCCAAAGCUUCUCUUAUUGCCACUACCUCUGCCUCAUUGUUGCUGGUCUCUGGUAGUUGGCUGCUUGAGCAAAUAUCACAUCCCCUCUAUUAUCUCUUAUGCAAUUUCCAUAUGAACUUUUUCCAGGGUACCCCUACUGGCACCAUCCGUGUUACACAUAAUUUUUCCUUUUGGUGGAGGUUGCCACAGUACCUUCUUGUAGUGCAUAAUGGGUUUGAGUUUGUUCAGGAAGUCAAUAACUUAUGGCCAGUGUAUUGCUGUAGGAGAGGUUAGAAAAACAUGUGUCAUGGUCUUCCUUUUUGGAUUAGAGUAGCAGUAACAUCUAGAAGAGAAGCUGAUACCCAUUCUUUGCACCACUUCAUAUAUGGGCAACCUAAACUUCCAAGCCCUCCAUAAGGUAAAUGUCAUCUUAAAAGGUAAUUUUUUGCACCAGAUAUUGCUAAAUAUGUCUUCGUUUUAUUCUCUGUGCCUUAUAUAAUGCCACACGCUCUUACUGAAAAAUUCCCACUCUGUUCUAGCAUCCAAAUUGGCUUGUCUAGCCCUUUGUUGUUGUUUGGAGGGGUAAUUGUGAUAAUGAUAUACUUUAUUAACUCAUCUGGUAAGUAUUGUGCUAAAUAUUCUAAAUUCCAUCUCUUCCCUUAUGUGAACUUAUCAAGCUCUAUCUCGUCAUCUUCCACAGCCUCCGGUGAUACCAACCCACCUCUCAAGAUGUAUUUUAGAAGAAAAUAUCGACAAAAGAAUAAAGAGUUGAAUUCUGGACAAACAACUGCUACAACAGUUGUCUAGCAGUUGUCUAGCAGUUAUUAUUCCUAGUUUAUAGUUUAUAGUGUCAAGUCUUAUCCUUUUACGUUCUCUAUAUAUAUGUAAUUAGGAUUAGUUAUUGGUAUUAUGUAAUUAAGAAUCAAAACUACUAUUUUCUGGAGUCUUGUCCUCUCCAUACGGACAACUUUAUCUGUAUAGUUGUGCCACAAACUAUUUACAGUAAAUCUACUUGCUUUGUUCUAUUU